UAGCUUGCUACCUGACCUAGCGGCGGACGGGUGAGUAAUGCUUAGGAAUCUGCCUAUUAGUGGGGGACAACAUUCCGAAAGGAAUGCUAAUACCGCAUACGCCCUACGGGGGAAAGCAGGGGAUCUUCGGACCUUGCGCUAAUAGAUGAGCCUAAGUCAGAUUAGCUAGUUGGUGGGGUAAAGGCCUACCAAGGCGACGAUCUGUAGCGGGUCUGAGAGGAUGAUCCGCCACACUGGGACUGAGACACGGCCCAGACUCCUACGGGAGGCAGCAGUGGGGAAUAUUGGACAAUGGGCGAAAGCCUGAUCCAGCCAUGCCGCGUGUGUGAAGAAGGCCUUUUGGUUGUAAAGCACUUUAAGCGAGGAGGAGGCUACUGAGAUUAAUACUCUUGGAUAGUGGACGUUACUCGCAGAAUAAGCACCGGCUAACUCUGUGCCAGCAGCCGCGGUAAUACAGAGGGUGCGAGCGUUAAUCGGAUUUACUGGGCGUAAAGCGUGCGUAGGCGGCUUUUUAAGUCGGAUGUGAAAUCCCUGAGCUUAACUUAGGAAUUGCAUUCGAUACUGGGAAGCUAGAGUAUGGGAGAGGAUGGUAGAAUUCCAGGUGUAGCGGUGAAAUGCGUAGAGAUCUGGAGGAAUACCGAUGGCGAAGGCAGCCAUCUGGCCUAAUACUGACGCUGAGGUACGAAAGCAUGGGGAGCAAACAGGAUUAGAUACCCUGGUAGUCCAUGCCGUAAACGAUGUCUACUAGCCGUUGGGGCCUUUGAGGCUUUAGUGGCGCAGCUAACGCGAUAAGUAGACCGCCUGGGGAGUACGGUCGCAAGACUAAAACUCAAAUGAAUUGACGGGGGCCCGCACAAGCGGUGGAGCAUGUGGUUUAAUUCGAUGCAACGCGAAGAACCUUACCUGGUCUUGACAUAGUAAGAACUUUCCAGAGAUGGAUUGGUGCCUUCGGGAACUUACAUACAGGUGCUGCAUGGCUGUCGUCAGCUCGUGUCGUGAGAUGUUGGGUUAAGUCCCGCAACGAGCGCAACCCUUUUCCUUAUUUGCCAGCGGGUUAAGCCGGGAACUUUAAGGAUACUGCCAGUGACAAACUGGAGGAAGGCGGGGACGACGUCAAGUCAUCAUGGCCCUUACGACCAGGGCUACACACGUGCUACAAUGGUCGGUACAAAGGGUUGCUACCUAGCGAUAGGAUGCUAAUCUCAAAAAGCCGAUCGUAGUCCGGAUUGGAGUCUGCAACUCGACUCCAUGAAGUCGG
rnacentral:rRNA from 1 species